rnacentral:rRNA from 1 species
UACGUAGGGCGCAAGCGUUGUCCGGAUUUAUUGGGCGUAAAGAGCGCGCAGGCGGUUCGUUAAGUCCGAGGUGAAAUCUCCCGGCUCAACUGGGAUAGGUCUUCGGAUACUGGCGGACUUGAGGAGAGCAGAGGUGAGUGGAAUUCUCGGUGUAGUGGUGAAAUGCGUAGAUAUCGAGAGGAACACCAGUGGCGAAGGCGGCUCACUGGGCUCCACCUGACGCUGAGGCGCGAAAGCGUGGGGAGCGAACCGG